GUGGUCGGGAACCCGACGCGAAACGGAAAGCGACAUUGUAUGAAGAAAUCUUCAUAGUUUUGGGGAUUCUCAAUUCGUAUUAGGGCAUUGAUUUUCAGAGGGAGAUCGGUCCAGAAUCGAGAUGACUCCUGUUUGUCCUUUCGUGAAAUCUUCUCGUCCCGACGACGCUUCUUCUCGGAAGCACCAGGGGGAAUCUGGUUGUCCUUUCGCGAAAUCCGGCCGUUCCGAUGAUGCUUCUUCAAGAAAACCGCAAUCGGAGGCUGCUUGUCCGUUUUCGAAAUCCGUUCGUUCGGAUGAUGCUUCAUUGAGGAAGAAUCAGGCUGAUGCGGAGAGUAAUGGAGCGGAGAAAGACGUUGCUGAUGCUGCUGGAACCGGUGGCAAGUGUCCAUUCGGAUAUGAUUCU
rnacentral:misc_RNA from 1 species